GACGAACGCUGGCGGCGUGCCUAAUACAUGCAAGUUGAGCGCUGAAGGUUGGUACUUGUACCGACUGGAUGAGCAGCGAACGGGUGAGUAACGCGUGGGGAAUCUGCCUUUGAGCGGGGGGACAACAUUUGGAAACGAAUGCUAAUACCGCAUAAAAACUUUAAACACAAGUUUUAAGUUUGAAAGAUGCAAUUGCAUCACUCAAAGAUGAUCCCGCGUUGUAUUAGCUAGUUGGUGAGGUAAAGGCUCACCAAGGCGAUGAUACAUAGCCGACCUGAGAGGGUGAUCGGCCACAUUGGGACUGAGACACGGCCCAAACUCCUACGGGAGGCAGCAGUAGGGAAUCUUCGGCAAUGGACGAAAGUCUGACCGAGCAACGCCGCGUGAGUGAAGAAGGUUUUCGGAUCGUAAAACUCUGUUGGUAGAGAAGAACGUUGGUGAGAGUGGAAAGCUCAUCAAGUGACGGUAACUACCCAGAAAGGGACGGCUAACUACGUGCCAGCAGCCGCGGUAAUACGUAGGUCCCGAGCGUUGUCCGGAUUUAUUGGGCGUAAAGCGAGCGCAGGUGGUUUAUUAAGUCUGGUGUAAAAGGCAGUGGCUCAACCAUUGUAUGCAUUGGAAACUGGUAGACUUGAGUGCAGGAGAGGAGAGUGGAAUUCCAUGUGUAGCGGUGAAAUGCGUAGAUAUAUGGAGGAACACCGGUGGCGAAAGCGGCUCUCUGGCCUGUAACUGACACUGAGGCUCGAAAGCGUGGGGAGCAAACA
rnacentral:rRNA from 1 species